rnacentral:rRNA from 1 species
CCUACGGGUGGCAGCAGUGGGGAAUAUUGGACAAUGGGCGAAAGCCUGAUCCAGCCAUGCCGCGUGUGUGAAGAAGGCCUUCGGGUUGUAAAGCACUUUCAGUGGGGAAGAAAGCCUUGGGGCUAAUACCCUCGAGGAAGGACAUCACCCACAGAAGAAGCACCGGCUAACUCCGUGCCAGCAGCCGCGGUAAUACGGAGGGUGCGAGCGUUAAUCGGAAUUACUGGGCGUAAAGCGCGCGUAGGCGGUCUGAUAAGCCGGUUGUGAAAGCCCCGGGCUCAACCUGGGAACGGCAUCCGGAACUGUCAGGCUAGAGUGCAGGAGAGGAAGGUAGAAUUCCCGGUGUAGCGGUGAAAUGCGUAGAGAUCGGGAGGAAUACCAGUGGCGAAGGCGGCCUUCUGGACUGACACUGACGCUGAGGUGCGAAAGCGUGGGUAGCAAACAGGAUUAGAUACCCGGUAGU